AUCGCAAGACCUCGGCGUUUAUACGAGCGGCCGAUGUCGGAUUAGCUAGUUGGUGGGGUAAAGGCCCACCAAGGCGACGAUCCGUAGCGGGUCUGAGAGGAUGAUCCGCCACACUGGGACUGAGACACGGCCCAGACUCCUACGGGAGGCAGCAGUGGGGAAUUUUGGACAAUGGGGGCAACCCUGAUCCAGCCAUGCCGCGUGCGGGAAGAAGGCCUUCGGGUUGUAAACCGCUUUCGGACGGAAAGAAAUCGCAUGGGUUAAUACCCUGUGUGGAUGACGGUACCGUAAGAAGAAGCACCGGCUAACUACGUG
rnacentral:rRNA from 1 species